rnacentral:tRNA from 3 species
GGGCUGUAGCUCAGCUGGGAGAGCACCUGCUUUGCAAGCAGGGGGUCAGCGGUUCGAUCCCGCUCAGCUCCACCA